AGAUCAGCGCUUUUCAGUUCCAAGAUACAGAUUCCGGUUCCAAUGAAUGCUGGUUGAAAAUACGGCCGUGGUUUUAAAUAUCAUGAAACUAUUUUACGUCCGUAGUACUUUCAUCUAUUUUUAUAAGAAUGUUUUGUAACUGAGAAACCUAAAGAGAUGAUGAAUUUCCCCCACCGCCCCCGACUAUUUUGCCUUUCAGUGACGCGGUAAUAUUUUACGAUAGGUGCCGAUUCAAAUCAGUGGCUUUCAGAAAGUACAGCUGCUAUUCUUUGGUGCCGCUAUUCAGAAUGACAAUGUGAAAUAAAAAUGAUUCUGACUAUGGGAAGGUCUGAUCUUCCUAUGAAUGAAAACAAUCAUGUGGGCCACAGAGAGCUCUCUCUUUCCAGCUAUCGAGGGACUUUUUGCAGAGAGAGAAAAGGAUCCUAAAGCCAUGUUCCCGAUACUGCAGACUUGGCGAGAUGGCGGCGGGCUCCUCCCACCUCUGCGGCAGCGUCACAAUCAAUAAUGCAGGGCUCUGCGGCAGAGGAAGCGCCUGCUUUUAUAUAGGGGCGCCCGGACCCCAGAGCAGGGCUAGUCCCUUAACCCAUUCCGCCAUCUAGCGUCCGCAGGGGCUCAUGGCAGGUUGGAGCCGGACAGUCUGGAAACUGCAAUCUAGAUUUUGCAGAAGGGUGACCUUUAGCCUUCUGCAAAACCUAGAUCUCACUUAAUGUAGAUCUCACUGAAGAAGGCAAAUAAAAAGUGAGUGGAGUGUUUAUUCAUUUUCCUGUA
rnacentral:lncRNA from 1 species